UAGGGGAGAAUGUGACGAGAGGACCGAAGUGAACUGACCUCUGGUGUACGAGCUGUCCUGCCAAGGGCACUGCUCGGUAGCUAUGUCGGGAAUGGAUAACCUCUGAAAGCAUCUAAGAGGGAAGCCAGCUUCAAGAUUAGGAAUCGUUAAGAACCCUGAGAGAUGAUCAGGUUGAUAGGCUUUAAGUGUAAGCGUAGCAAUGCGUUCAGCUGAGAAGUACUAAUGUUUCGAU
rnacentral:ncRNA from 1 species